rnacentral:pre_miRNA from 1 species
UUUUCGUUUUUCCGUAUCUAACGUUUGAUCAUUUAUCUUAUUUGAAAUUUUUUUGCGAUUAAUAUUUUUAUUGUUACUAGAUGAUAAAAUAUAAAUAGUACUUUAUAUGUGACUAAUUUUUUUAAGUUUUUGUACAAAUUUUUUAAAUAAGACGAAUAGUUUAACGUUGAACACGAAAAA